GGUAAUACGUAGGGUGCGAGCGUUGUCCGGAAUUACUGGGCGUAAAGAGCUCGUAGGUGGUUUGUCGCGUUGUUCGUGAAAUCUCACGGCUUAACUGUGAGCGUGCGGGCGAUACGGGCAGACUUGAGUACUGCAGGGGAGACUGGAAUUCCUGGUGUAGCGGUGGAAUGCGCAGAUAUCAGGAGGAACACCGGUGGCGAAGGCGGGUCUCUGGGCAGUAACUGACGCUGAGGAGCGAAAGCGUGGGGAGCGAACAGGAUUAGAUACCCUGGCAGUCCAUGCCGUAAACGUUGGGCACUAGGUGUGGGGCUCAUUCCACGAGUUCCGUGCCGCAGCAAACGCAUUAAGUGCCCCGCCUGGGGAGUACGGCCGCAAGGCUAAAACUC
rnacentral:rRNA from 1 species